GCAAAUAUAAUGGUUGUCAAGAUGAAUUCACACCCUUUCAGGUUCUAUCCCUCAGAUCCAAGUAUCAGGUGGCUAUGGCAUCUGCAUCAUCUAGGAGGAGAGAAAGGAAGGCCAAGCUUUAGGGUAGUGUUAGGCUGCCUAAGGGAAAUUCUUCAAGAAAGAAUUCAGUAGAGAAAUCAAUUUGGAGGUGGAAGAGUCGUGAAUCAACUCCUGUGUGGAUCAACAUUGGAGGGC
rnacentral:lncRNA from 1 species